rnacentral:misc_RNA from 1 species
UAAAGCCUCCAAGUGGUUCCGGGCAAUUCUCGGCCUUAAAAAAACCGACCACCCGCCUCAAUCACAACAGCAGCAUCAAACCAUGGGUCGCUUGAAGGAGAAACGAAGAUGGAACUUUGUGAAAUCAUACCGUGAGAAAGACCACCCGCAGCAGCAGCAGCACAUAAAACGUGGAGUUUCGGAUGAUCAGGAGACUUCCGUAAUGGUUCAGUGUUCGUCGGAGUACGAGGAGGAUCCCAACAAGCACGCGAUCGCAGUAGCCGCUGCCACGGCGGCAGUUGCUGAGGCCGCUGUGGCAGCGGCUCAUGCGGCAGCCGAGGUUGUAAGGUUGACGAGUAGCGGAAGGUGCGCUAACAACCCAGCAGUGACGUCCGUUAACAGGAGCCAUGCCUGGCGCGAGGAUCUGGCUGCCGUUAAGAUACAAUCUGCUUUCCGAGGAUACUUGGCAAGAAGGGCAUUGCGA